AAGUUGGUGACGAGAAUAUAGGAAUGAAACGUUAAUCGAACGCGCGGUUAACUGGUUGUUUGUUGUUUAGAUAAAUCUAGUAAGUUAGGGCCUGAGAGAUUAGUUUCGGGCCAGGUUGCAUUAAAAGCUAGGUAGUUGAACUGUCUUAGUUUAAUAGUAAUAGUGGGGUAGUGUGUUAUAACAAGAUUUAGUGUUUAUAAGGAUUAAUAUAUUUUGUGUUAUGUAGCAAAUAGCGUAGUUUAAUUAAGUGUUUAGGGCAAAAGUGUUUGUAUGAGUAAAAUUGUUGUAGCAUAGAGUGGUUAAUAAAGUUGAAAGCAUUUGUGUUUGAGGGAGUCUUUUAAGAAUUCGGCAAGUAUUUUUCUAACUGUUUAACAAAAACAUUUCUUUUAGAAUAUCAAAAAGUAAAGCCUGCCCAGUGCAGACGGUAAAUGGCUGCGGUAUCUUGACCGUACGAAGGUAGCAUAAUCAAUAGUCUUUUAAUUGGAGACUGGAAUGAAUGGUGUCAUAAGAAAGAGACUUUUUUGGGGGCGUAGUUUGAAUUUAAUUAUCAAGUUAAAAGGCUUGAAUGUAAAAAAGUGACAAGAAGACCCUAGGAGUUUGACGUUUAGUGGGAUGCGGUGGUUGGUGUGUUUGGUUGCAUAUCUUAUGUGGGCGUUUAACUGGGGCGGUUAGAAUAUUAUCUAUUACUGGGAAUGACCAUAGUUGUGGGAAUGUUUGAAAACUAGUAUCCUUGUAGGAAGUCAGAGAUAAUUACCUUAGGGAUAACAGCAUAAUCCUUCCUGAGAGAUCUUAUUGACGGGGGGGUUUGUGACCUCGAUGUUGGAUUUGAAUAACUAUAAGGAGCAGAAUUUUUAUUAGUUGGUUUGUUCAACCAUUAAAUGUACAACGUGAUCUGAGUGCAAACCAGAGGAA
rnacentral:rRNA from 1 species